GUCGAGGCUUCGGCUCGACAUACUGGCGUCGCAGCGACGCUGCGACAGCCUCGUAAUCCAUGUUGCUUCACGGAGGAUAUGGCUAUGAGAA
rnacentral:sRNA from 1 species